rnacentral:rRNA from 1 species
UACGUAGGGUGCAAGCGUUAAUCGGAAUUACUGGGCGUAAAGCGUGCGCAGGCGGUUCGUUAAGUCUGAUGUGAAAGCCCUGGGCUUAACCUGGGAAGUGCAUUGGAAACUGGCGAACUUGAGUAUGGGAGAGGAAAGUGGAAUUCCGAGUGUAGGGGUGAAAUCCGUAGAUAUUCGGAGGAACACCAGUGGCGAAGGCGGCUUUCUGGACCAAUACUGACGCUGAGACGCGAAAGCGUGGGGAGCAAACAGGAUUAGAAACCCCAGUAGU